rnacentral:rRNA from 1 species
UACGUAGGGUGCGAGCGUUGUCCGGAUUUAUUGGGCGUAAAGCGCGCGUAGGCGGCUGCGCAAGUCGGGUGUGAAACCCCGGGGCUCAACCCCGGAACUGCAUCCGAUACUGCGUGGCUAGAGGUAGGUAGGGGAGAUCGGAAUUCCUGGUGUAGCGGUGAAAUGCGUAGAUAUCUGGAGGAACACCGGUGGCGAAGGCGGCAUCCUGGACCAACAUUGACGCUGAGGAGCGAAAGCCAGGGGAGCAAACGGG